rnacentral:lncRNA from 1 species
UAGAGGCACACUUUCUGUGUUCACCUGUGGAGAAAGACGUAUUUGAAAUAUCUGUCAGAUUUCUGUGCUUUCCAGGAGCACUCUACAGGUUUCUCAGACAUGUGCAAAGUGUUUUCUUACGGACGUCUGCCGUGGAGAUAUCAUUUUAAAAGGAAAAAUCCCAAACAAAAGACUUGGAAAGAAGAGCCCAGCGGGGGACGCAGACCCACUAAUGAAACGGACCUCAUCCAGUAAAAAGCCCCAAAUCCUGCCCACGCUUUUCCUUGGUGGCUCUCGUCCAUCAUUUCGAUUUUUUUUUUUCCCUAACUCACAGCCCUGAGUCGUCACCUUGUAAACAGGAGUGAAGUUGGAGAUCCUGUUUGUGGAGCAAUAGUCGGCUCUUAUAUUAACAUGUGGCUCAGGCAGAAUGGUUGACCUGUUCUCUUCCACUUCAGAAGCCUUCUACAAGGGACUGCAAACCGUGUGUGUGUGUGUGUGGUGUGUGUGUGUGUGUGUGUAUGUUUUAUGAGUCAUGACCUUUACAGGACUCAACUUUAUUUCAAUGAACUUAAACAGAUUUGACUAGAACAAGGGGUUUUUCGAAAACAGAGCCUCCAGCCAGGCUCUGUACACUCCACUGUUGCCCUCCAUGGAACACCUCUUCCUCCUCCCGUUAUUUAAGAAGUUAUUUAAUAAUUCAGUACCAAAUCUAAUCAAGUUCAAAAACCUCAUUAUACAUAAAUGUACCCUUCUGGUUUCAAUGAAUAUAUUUUAGAUACAAACAUCAUUUCUA